CAUUAAGUGACUGAAAGUAAGUACUGGUCUCUUAAACCAUAUAAUAAUAGAUUAACGAUUAUUCUUAAUGG
rnacentral:tRNA from 1 species